CACGUAGGAGGCGAGCGUUGUCCGGAAUUACUGGGCGUAAAGGGCGCGUAGGCGGCCUGCUAAGUCGGAUGUGAAAUCCCUCGGCUCAACCGAGGAACUGCAUCCGAUACUGGCGGGCUUGAAUCCGGGAGAGGGAUGUGGAAUUCCAGGUGUAGCGGUGAAAUGCGUAGAUAUCUGGAGGAACACCGGUGGCGAAGGCGGCAUCCUGGACCGGUAUUGACGCUGAGGCGCGAAGGCUAGGGGAGCAAACGGG
rnacentral:rRNA from 1 species